rnacentral:rRNA from 1 species
AGACUUUGAUUCUGGCUCAGGAUGAACGCUAGCUACAGGCUUAACACAUGCAAGUCGAGGGGAAACGAUAUUGGAAGCUUGCUUCCGAUAGGCGUCGACCGGCGCACGGGUGAGUAACGCGUAUCCAACCUGCCCACCACUUGGGGAUAACCUUGCGAAAGUAAGACUAAUACCCAAUGAUAUCUCUAGAAGACAUCUGAAGGAGAUUAAAGAUUUAUCGGUGAUGGAUGGGGAUGCGUCUGAUUAGCUUGUUGGCGGGGUAACGGCCCACCAAGGCAACGAUCAGUAGGGGUUCUGAGAGGAAGGUCCCCCACGUUGGAACUGAGACACGGUCCAGACUCCUACGGGAGGCAGCAGUGAGGAAUAUUGGUCAAUGGACGAGAGUCUGAACCAGCCAAGUAGCGUGCAGGAAGACGGCCCUAUGGGUUGUAAACUGCUUUUAUAAGGGAAUAAAGUGAGUCUCGUGAGACUUUUUGCAUGUACCUUAUGAAUAAGGACCGGCUAAUUCCGUGCCAGCAGCCGCGGUAAUACGGAAGGUCCGGGCGUUAUCCGGAUUUAUUGGGUUUAAAGGGAGCGUAGGCCGGAGAUUAAGCGUGUUGUGAAAUGUAGACGCUCAACGUCUGCACUGCAGCGCGAACUGGUUUCCUUGAGUACGCACAAAGUGGGCGGAAUUCGUGGUGUAGCGGUGAAAUGCUUAGAUAUCACGAAGAGCUCCGAUUGCGAAGGCAGCUCACUGGAGCGCAACUGACGCUGAAGCUCGAAAGUGCGGGUAUCGAACAGGAUUAGAUACCCUGGUAGUCCGCACGGUAAACGAUGGAUGCCCGCUGUUGGUCUGAAUAGGUCAGCGGCCAAGCGAAAGCAUUAAGCAUCCCACCUGGGGAGUACGCCGGCAACGGUGCAACUCAAAGGAAUUGA